UACGGAGGGUGCUAGCGUUGUUCGGAAUCACUGGGCGUAAAGGGCUCGUAGGCGGCCAACUAAGUCAGACGUGAAAUCCCUCAGCUUAACUGGGGAACUGCGUCUGAUACUGGAUGGCUUGGAUUCGGGAGAGGAAUGCGGAAUUCCAGGUGUAGCGGUGAAAUGCGUAGAUAUCUGGAGGAACACCGGUGGCGAAGGCGGCAUUCUGGACCGAUAUUGACGCUGAGGAGCGAAAGCCAGGGGAGCAAAGCGGG
rnacentral:rRNA from 1 species